rnacentral:rRNA from 1 species
GUCACUGCUAUCGGUGUUCGACUAAGCCAUGCGAGUCAAAUGUUCUUCGUGAACAUGGCGUACUGCUCAGUAACACGUGGAUAACCUGCCCUUAGGUCUGGCAUAACCCCGGGAAACUGGGGAUAAUUCCGGAUAGAUCAUGGAUGCUGGAAUGCACCGUGGUCGAAAGCUUUUGUGCCUAAGGAUGGGUCUGCGGUCUAUCAGGUUGUAGUGGGUGUAACGUACCUACUAGCCUACGACGGAUACGGGUUGUGGGAGCAAGAGCCCGGAGAUGGAUUCUGAGACAUGAAUCCAGGCCCUACGGGGCGCAGCAGGCGCGAAAACUUUACAAUGCGGGAAACCGCGAUAAGGGGACACCGAGUGCCAGCAUCCUAUGUUGGCUGUCCAUAUGUAUAAAUAACAUGUGUUAGCAAGGGCCGGGCAAGACCGGUGCCAGCCGCCGCGGUAACACCGGCGGCCCGAGUGGUGGCCACUAUUAUUGGGUCUAAAGGGUCCGUAGCCGGUUUGGUCAGUCUUCCGGGAAAUCUGACGGCUUAACCGUUAGGCUUUCGGGGGAUACUGCCAGGCUUGGGACCGGGAGAGGUAAGAGGUACUACGGGGGUAGGAGUGAAAUCUUGUAAUCCCUGUGGGACCACCAGUGGCGAAGGCGUCUUACCAGAACGGGUCCGACGGUGAGGGACGAAAGCUGGGGGCACGAACCGGAUUAGAUACCCGGGUAGUCCCAGCCGUAAACUAUGCUCGCUAGGUGUCAGGGACGGUGCGACCGUUUCUGGUGCCGUAGGGAAGCCGUGAAGCGAGCCACCUGGGAAGUACGGUCGCAAGGCUGAAACUUAAAGGAAUUGGCGGGGGAGCACUACAACGGGUGGAGCCUGCGGUUUAAUUGGACUCAACGCCGGAAAACUCACCGGGGGCGACAGCAAUAUGUAGGUCAAGCUAAAGACUUUACCAGAAUCGCUGAGAGGAGGUGCAUGGCCGUCGUCAGUUCGUACUGUGAAGCAUCCUGUUAAGUCAGGCAACGAGCGAGACCC